CACCUACUCCUUCUGUCCGGAAAUACUUGUCGAAUAAAUGCAUAAAAAUAAAUGUAUUUAGAACUAAAAUACAUCUAGAUAUAUUCAUUUCUCCGACGACUAUUUUCGGAUGAAGGAAGUAGAUA
rfam:Triticum aestivum genome assembly, contig: Triticum_aestivum_CS42_TGACv1_scaffold_222943_3B